CUUCACAUUCUUCACAAAGUGGGAUGGCUAAACUAGGCAAUACUCCAAAUAUGAACAAAAUCUGUAUUUUGUCCUAUAAAUAUUCUGUCUUUGAACAAAGUAAUGUGACUCCAAGGAGAUUGUUCUCCAGCUCCCUAACCCCAUUCAGAAUCCACAAUAUAUUUUUGCACCUCCAGAAUUCUCCUAAUCCCAGUCCCUCCCCCAAAUACAAAAGUUAAGACCAAGCAAACUUUUCCAAAAAUAUCACAUACAUAUCUAAAUGUGUAUUCUGCCCACUCUUGAUACUAUUUAUUUUCUGCGCUGAGGCUUCUGCAACUUCUCCAGUCUUCUGGUCUCAAGAAAUCAUGAGGUUUUUUUAAGAUCCCUCCAGGGACCCCACCAUCCCCCAGCUACCUACUUCCAAGUUCCCAUCAUAAACUCCUCUGGCUGUGAGGUUUGGUAUCCAAGAUUUGUAUUUGGACCACAUAUUUUGGUUCAUGAGGAACAUUUUUAUAAUGACCUUUUGUGAUGAUGAAACAUACAUGAUUGAUAGUUGUAAGAUUUAAUUUCUGUAUGUAUUUGACAGGAGUCAAGAGUGCCAUGCCGCCCAAUCAAUGUGACCCAAUACCAACCUGGAGAUACCACUGCUAGAAAUAGAAUCUCAGUAAAUUUUCAUACUUUCUAAUGUAAAUAUCCACCCAUUCCUACAGGCAGUCCUAACCAAGAGGUACACCAGUGAAGACACUUCAGAUCCGUCUCCACGCUUCAGGCUGCUCUUGAGAGUCCAUUCUCAUGUAUAAUGGACAAGCCUAAGGUGGUCCCACUGUUGUACUUCCAGGCUGGUAAAGUGCUCAUGGUUGCAAACGGGUAGGAUAAGCUAAGGAAGAGCCCAGUCAGGACAGGCUACUACUGUGGUGUAGACAACUCCACAGAUUAAGGCCAGAGGAGACCUCCUGAAUAACACAGGACAAAAAUCUCUGACUAAUUUCUGCAUCAAACCCAUAACUUAUUUAAGCUUUUAUAGCAAACCUUUUAGAAAGGCAUCCAGUCUCUAUUUAAAGACUUCAAGGUAAUGGACUAUCCAUCACAUCAGUAUGGAAUGGCCUACUGGUUAGAGUGCAACAGGUAUUCUGUAUUCCAGACGUAGUUUCAAUGUCAGAAAUAA